rnacentral:rRNA from 1 species
AAGCCCAGGCGGCGUGGGAUGGGGUCGCGGCCCAUCAGGUAGACGGCGGGGUAACGGCCCACCGUGCCUACAACGGGUAGCCGGGUUGAGAGACCGACCGGCCAGAUUGGGACUGAGACACGGCCCAGACUCCUACGGGAGGCAGCAGUGGGGAAUCUUGCGCAAUGGGGGCAACCCUGACGCAGCGACGCCGCGUGCGGGACGAAGGCCUUCGGGUCGUAAACCGCUUUCAGCAGGGACGAGANAGAGACGGUACCUGCAGAAGAAGCCCCGGCUAACUACGUGCCAGCAGCCGCGGUAAUACGUAGGGGGCGAGCGUUAUCCGGAUUCAUUGGGCGUAAAGCGCGCGUAGGCGGCCGCGUAGGCGGGGGGUCAAAUCCCGGGGCUCAACCCCGGUCCGCCCCCCGAACCCCGCGGCUCGGGUCCGGUAGGGGAGGGUGGAACACCCGGUGUAGCGGUGGAAUGCGCAGAUAUCGGGUGGAACACCGGUGGCGAAGGCGGCCCUCUGGGCCGAGACCGACGCUGAGGCGCGAAAGCUGGGGGAGCGAACAGGAUUAGAUACCCUGGUAGUCCAUGCCGUAAACGAUGAGUGCUAGGUGUUGGAGGGUUUCCGCCCUUCAGUGCCGCAGCUAACGCAUUAAGCACUCCGCCUGGGGAGUACGACCGCAAGGUUGAAACUCAAAGGAAUUGACGGGGGCCCGCACAAGCGGUGGAGCAUGUGGUUUAAUUCGAAGCAACGCGAAGAACCUUACCAGGUCUUGACAUCCUUUGAGCACUCUAGAGAUAGAGCUUUCCCUUCGGGGACAAAGUGACAGGUGGUGCAUGGUUGUCGUCAGCUCGUGUCGUGAGAUGUUGGGUUAAGUCCCGCAACGUGCGCAACCCUUAUUACUAGUUGCCAGCAUUAAGUUGGGCACUCUAGUGAGACUGCCGGUGACAAACCGGAGGAAGGUGGGGACGACGUCAAAUCAUCAUGCCCCUUAUGACCUGGGCUACACACGUGCUACAAUGGAUGGUACAACGAGUUGCGAGACCGGGAGGUUUAGCUAAUCUCUUAAAACCAUUCUCAGUUCGGAUUGUAGGCUGCAACUCGCCUACAUGAAGCCGGAAUCGCUAGUAAUCGCGGAUCAGCAUGCCGCGGUGAAU